UUCACGAAAAGAAAAGAAAGAAAAGAAAAGAAAAGAAAAGAAACGAAACCCAGGGAGAAUUUUCUUUUAUGUGUAAUGGACAUCUAAUUUUAGGAUAGUGAUGUUUAAUAUGUUAAGUUUUUUUCUUGCCUCAUCUACUAUUGUCAUCUGCUGCCCCAUACCUACAAAGAAAAACAUUUGCACCACUAGUUUUAUUUAAUAGUAUUUAUGGAGAAUAACUGAUGCAUUCAUUGGGAAAAUGGUAAUAAUAAAGAGAAAAGAGAAGAUAUUUCAAAAGGGGAUUUAAGGACUACCGUGAAGAUAUACUGAAAAUUCUAACACCCUGGAGGAGUAUAAAAUCCCAUUUUGUUGCUAAUCUUCCUUUCAUGGAAGUUGCUUGCCAGCUCUAAUUUUGAGUGAACGUAUUAAACACAAUGGUGAAAAAAUCAAUUAAAAAAAAUCUACUCUCCAUA